rnacentral:rRNA from 1 species
GACGAACGCUGGCGGCGUGCCUAAUACAUGCAAGUUGAGCGAUGAAGAUUGGUGCUUGCACCAAUUUGAAGAGCAGCGAACGGGUGAGUAACGCGUGGGGAAUCUGCCUUUGAGCGGGGGACAACAUUUGGAAACGAAUGCUAAUACCGCAUAACAACUUUAAACAUAAGUUUUAAGUUUGAAAGAUGCAAUUGCAUCACUCAAAGAUGAUCCCGCGUUGUAUUAGCUAGUUGGUGAGGUAAAGGCUCACCAAGGCGAUGAUACAUAGCCGACCUGAGAGGGUGAUCGGCCACAUUGGGACUGGGACACGGCCCAAACUCCUGCGGGAGGCAGCAGUAGGGAAUCUUCGGCAAUGGACGAAAGUCUGACCGAGCAACGCCGCGUGAGUGAAGAAGGUUUUCGGAUCGUAAAACUCUGUUGGUAGGGAAGAACGUUGGUGAGAGUGGAAAGCUCAUCAAGUGACGGUAACUACCGAGAAAGGGACGGCUAACUACGUG